rnacentral:rRNA from 1 species
GAUGAACGCUGGCGGCGUGCCUAAUACAUGCAAGUCGAGCGAACAGACGAGGCGCUUGCUCCUCUGACGUUAGCGGCGGACGGGUGAGUAACACGUGGAUAACCUACCUAUCUGACUGGUAUAACUUCGGGAAACCGGCGCUAAUACCGUAUAAUAUAUUGAACCGCAUGGUUCAAUAGUGAAAGACGGUUUUGCUGUCACUUAUAGAUGGAUCCGCGCCGCAUUAGCUAGUUGGUAAGGUAACGGCUUACUAAGGCAACCAUGCGUAGCCGACCUGAGAGGGUGAUCGGCCACACGAGAAGUUAGACACGGUCCAGACUCCUACGGGAGGCAGCAGUAGGGAAUCUUCCGCAAUGGGCGAAAGCUUGACGGAGCAACGCCGCGUGAGUGAUGAAGGUCUUCGGAGCGUAAAACUCUGUUAUUAGGGAAGAACAAAUGUGUAAGUAACUAUGCACGUAUUGACGGUACCUAAUCAGAAAGCCACGGCUAACUACGUG